GACGAGGGGUCCUAGCGUUGUUCGGAAUCACUGGGCGUAAAGCGUUUGUAGGCGGCUCUGUAAGUCGGGUGUGAAAUCCCACGGCUCAACCGUGGAAGUGCAUUCGAAACUGCAGGGCUUGAAUAUGGAAGAGGAGAGUAGAAUUCCAGGUGUAGUGGUGAAAUACGUAGAUAUCUGGAGGAAUACCGGUGGCGAAGGCGGCUCUCUGGUCCAAUAUUGACGCUGAGAAACGAAAGUGCGGGGAUCAAACAGG
rnacentral:rRNA from 1 species